rnacentral:sRNA from 12 species
UUGCGCCUGCAAAGGAUGCAGCAAGCCCUGUAUUACGGUUCUGCAGGCAACUGGAGCUUGUAUCAUCUCGUAUCUUGGCAAGAGUGCCAAUUCAAAAUCUUUCC